GACAGACCAUAGUUAGUUAAUUCGGAUUCGGCAAAAGUUCGGUACGGGUAUAAUUCGGAUAAAAUUCGUCUUCUAAUUUUUAAAUUCGUUGAAAAAAUCGGCUAAAAAACGGAUUAGUCAAUUAUUCGGAUACGUGAUUCAUACGGAUAUUAUACGUUCACCAAUUAAAAAUUCGGGAUCAAAAAUUCGGCUAUUAAAUUAAAUUUUUUCCUCUUAAAAUUUAUGCUAUUAGCAUAAAUAUUCAUAUUUUUUAAGAAUAUAAGAAUAACGAGCUACAAAAUUAAAUAAAAAAAUAAUAAACUAUAUUAUGCCUAAAAAAGAAUAAAUAAUUAAGCAAAUAAGAGAUCAAGAUAGU
rnacentral:lncRNA from 1 species